rnacentral:rRNA from 1 species
UACAGAGGAGCCAAGCGUUGUCCGGAUUGACUGGGCGUAAAGCGCACGCAGGCGGACGCGCGCGUGGGGUGUGAAAUCUGGCCGCUUAACGGCCAGGCGCCAUCCCAUACGGCACGACUGGAGUGAUGCAGAGGUCGAUGGAAUUGCCGGUGUAGUGGUGAAAUGCGUAGAGAUCGGCAGGAACACCCAGGGGGAAACCAGUCGACUGGGCAUCUACUGACGCUGAGGUGCGAGAGCGUGGGGAGCGAACCGG